rnacentral:rRNA from 1 species
UACGUAGGGUGCAAGCGUUUAAUCGGAAUUACUGGGCGUAAAGCGUGCGCAGGCGGUUGUGCAAGACAGAUGUGAAAUCCCCGGGCUUAACCUGGGAAUUGCAUUUGUGACUGCACGGCUAGAGUGUGUCAGAGGGGGGUAGAAUUCCACGUGUAGCAGUGAAAUGCGUAGAUAUGUGGAGGAAUACCGAUGGCGAAGGCAGCCCCCUGGGAUAACACUGACGCCUCAUGCACGAAAGCGUGGGGAGCAAACAGG